GCUUAGCUCAGCUGGGAGAGCAUCGGCCUUACAAGCCGGAGGUCGCAGGUUCAAUCCCUGCAG
rnacentral:tRNA from 1 species